CCUACGGGAGGCAGCAGUGGGGAAUAUUGGACAAUGGGCGAAAGCCUGAUCCAGCCAUGCCGCGUGUGUGAAGAAGGUCUUCGGAUUGUAAAGCACUUUAAGUUGGGAGGAAGGGCAGUAAGCUAAUACCUUGCUGUUUGACGUACCGACAGA
rnacentral:rRNA from 1 species